UUGGAGGGCAAGUCUGGUGCCASCAGCCGCGGUAAUUCCAGCUCCAAUAGCGUAUAUUAAAGUUGUUGCAGUUAAAAAGCUCGUAGUUGAAUUUCGGGAUCAAUAUUUCGGUCAUGCCGUUGGUAUGCACUGUUAUCAUUGAUUUCUCACCUUCUAAAGAACCGUAAUGCCAUUAAUUUGGUGUUACGGGGAAUUAGGACUGUUACCUUGAAAAAAUUAGAGUGUUUAAAGCAGGCUCACGCUUGAAUACAUUAGCAUGGGAUAAUGAAAUAGGACAUCCGAUUCUAUUUUGUUGGUUUCUAGGAUCGAUGUAAUGAUUAAUAGGGAUAGUUGGGGGCAUUAGUAUUCAAUUGUCAGAGGUGAAAUUCUUGGAUUUAUUGAGGACUAACUACUGCGAAAGCAUUUGCCAAGGAUGUUUUCAUUAAUCAAGAACGAAAGUUAGGGGAUCGAAGACGAUCAGAUACCGUCGUAGUCUUAACCAUAAAACUAUGCCGACUAGGGAUCGGAUGAUGUUAAUUUUUUAAUGACUCAUUCGGCGCCUUACGGGAAAAC
rnacentral:rRNA from 1 species